AACGCUGGCGGCAUGCCUAACACAUGCAAGUCGAACGAGACCUUCGGGUCUAGUGGCGCACGGGUGCGUAACGCGUGGGAAUCUGCCCUUCGGUUCGGAACAACAGUUAGAAAUGACUGCUAAUACCGGAUAAUGACGUAAGUCCAAAGAUUUAUCGCCGAAGGAUGAGCCCGCGUAAGAUUAGGUAGUUGGUGGGGUAAUGGCCUACCAAGCCGACGAUCUUUAGCUGGUCUGAGAGGAUGAUCAGCCACACUGGGACUGAGACACGGCCCAGACUCCUACGGGAGGCAGCAGUGGGGAAUAUUGGACAAUGGGCGAAAGCCUGAUCCAGCAAUGCCGCGUGAGUGAUGAAGGCCUUAGGGUUGUAAAGCUCUUUUACCAGGGAUGAUAAUGACAGUACCUGGAGAAUAAGCUCCGGCUAACUCCGUG
rnacentral:rRNA from 1 species